CAGGGCAGGAGAAAGCAGCAGGUCCACACCCGCUUGCCUACGAUGAGUGGCCAUUUCAGGCUGCAAUUUGCCCCUCAGGCAGAGGCUAUAUGACGACUGGCAGUGGGUCACUGAGGCAAGGUGCAGGUCGUGACGAGCACAUCGCCCUGUGUGUGUAAGCACAUAUUGCCACAGCGUUAGGCUUGAAACCCUCUUACUGCUUCUAUAUCUGCACGGCCAGGAGGGUGCCAUGGGAGCCCUAUCCCAGACUCCAUCCCCACAGCGGCUUAGAUGACGUCAGACCCUUUGACAGGCCGGCCUGCGGGAGGAUAAAAAUUGGAACCUUGACCCAUGUGUGCGGGAAAUGAGACCAACCAUUGAAUGGAGGCAGGGUUGUUUUCAAGGUGGGCUGACGCUGCAGGCAACGGGGAAAGGAGAGUACCUGGAAGUGAGGGCUGUAGUGAUUAUCCGCAUUCACAACUUCCCUUUCUCUCCCGUCGCGGGACAGGAUCGUCACCACCUUCCUUCCCGUCAGUUGUGUUGAUGUACCUCCCAGACUUCUCGAGUACCCCUAAGGGUACGCGUACCACUGGUUGAAAAACACUGAUCCGACCCACGGACCUGGUCACCUGCCUCCUGAGGAUGAUGCGCAGAUGCUAAAGACACGUAGCUACUACCUGGCCAGUUCAUCUCUAAACCUCAA